GGGGAAAAGUGGGGGGCAGCCAGAGGGGGGUUAAGGGUGGGGGGGGUCGCUGGGCGCUGCGGCCGCGCUCGCUGGGGAGGCCUCGGCUGCGCUUCCCGGGGGGUUGCUUGCUUGCCCGGGCGGCCUCUCCUCGCCGCUCGCCGGCUCGGGUCAGCGCUUUAACUACUUCGCUAACCUGCUUAGCUCGCCUAGCGGCUCACAAACUACGCACGCUAGCUCCCGAGCACGUCUCUACCUGCACCACCCCUACCACCCCGCGCCCCACCCCGCACAGGAGAGCGUCCCGUACAUGAGGCAACGGUGCGGGAAGGUGGGAAAGCCGCCGCGGCAGCUGUAGUAGCAGCAACUCGUCGGGCUGCCGAGGAUGGCGUCGUGCGGGACCAUACAGGCGAAACCGUUCAAGGUCCCACAAGAGUUCGCAUUGCUCUUCCAGCAGUGGUAGCGGCAGUUACCGCACCUGCGGUCGAAGGUGUACGACGAGCUGUUGAGACCGGUCCGUAUGAAGUACGCCCUCGAGCACGGACCACCACUCCUGAGGCUCUGGCGACGUCUUCUUCGAUGCUCGCUCGGACUUUGAGGAGACGCAUCAUUCUCACUGCCCCUUGAAAUGUCGGUCAACCAGCCGGGUCUCAACUUACUCCUAGUCCUCCAUGUUUUACCUCUCCUCAAACUAAGUAUACCGAUAAGGUUCAACCUCCUCCGUCUCCUAAACCGUUUAGUUCGACCACCCCCACCCCCGUUAAGUCUCUACGAAAACCAAUCACACUUGCCCACACAAGAUUGACGAGGGUAAAGAAGUUGACUCCUCUUAUACCUCCUACACGUUGAUUCACUGGGGGUCAAGGUAAACCCCGGACCCCUCUCGAGCUCACCGCUAGAGUCGGCGCCACCGCUCCACACCCUUAGACCGUAAAACCUACCAAAUAUGUAUAGUGUCCUUUUCCAAUUCAAACUAAGACUUGUAGGUAGUCUCCGAAACCUCCUCGAAGCCCUCCACAGUUAAAACUUCCUACCCAGUGUACUGUAGGGUCAAUUACUUGUACUUUCGGAGGUACAGAGACAAUUACUUCCGGUCUGGACACAACGUAACUGGUUACGAGAACUACACAGCCACUUGUUACUACUACGAAUAGUUGGUAACUGGUUACUUCUGUUCUGAACACUGUAAGGUGACCAAGUCUCGUUGACACAACGUAACUGGUUACUUCUACUCCAAGUCUCACACAGUGCUAGUCUCUUGUUGCCAGACUUAAUAGUUGGAAACCAGUACCUUCUACCUCAAGCACUUCAAAGUCCCUUGUUACCACUCCCGAUAGUUGGGAAAGGGUUAUUUCUACUUCGGGAACUACACAGCCACUUGUUACUACUACGAAUAGUUGGUAACUGGUUACUUCUACUCUGAACACUAUAAGGUGACCAAGUCUCGUUGCUCCGGACGUUCAGGGGUAGGUACCGUCCGUUCCAAACACUACGGUUGUUACUCUAAUAACUCCUACUCCACUUCCCAAAUAGUGUCAGUCCCUUGUUACCAGGCCUAAUAGUUUGCGACUUACACCUUCUACUCCGAUUACUAUAAAGUCCCUCGUUGCGACUCCAACUAGGUUAGAACGGGUUAUUUCUUCUCAGGGAACUAUAGAACCUCUUGUUACUACUCCCAAGAGUUGGUAACUGGUUACUUCUACUCUGAAGACUAUAAGGUGACCAAGUCUUGUUACUCCGGACGUUCAGGGGUAGGUUCCGUCCGUUCCAAACACUACGGUCGUUACUCUAAUAACUCCUACUCCAAGUCCCAAAUAGUGUCAGUCCCUUGUUACCAGGCUUAAUAGUUUACGACUUACACCUUCUACUCCGAUUACUAUAAAGUCCCUCGUUGCGACUCCAACUAGGUGAGAACGGGUUAUUUCUUCACAGGGAACUAUAGAACCUCUUGUUACUACUCCCAAGAGUUGGGAACUGGUUACUUCUACUCCAAGUCUUACUACUCCGUACGCUUAGGGGUAGAUUCAGGCUGCUUUAAACACUACUUUCGUUACUCUUAUAAGUCCGAUCAAAAUCGUCUAAACUAUGAAAGUCUUCAACGAACCUAAACUGUAGUGUUCUACUACCUCUAAGUCCUUGACUUGAGAAAAGUGGUCUUAAACUAGUGGUCUCCCUAAGACUCGAAUCAGACUCAUAGGCAAGGCUAUAACUGUAUCUAGACCCUCUUCUAGCUUCACUUUGACGCGUGACACUAGUUAGGUUAGUUAAUUUCGUAUAUCUCCUUCACCUACAAAGCAGUCAAUGAAGUCUACUAUUAUAUUGUGCGUCGCUUCUGACGAGAGGACAGAUACCGUUCCGUCGACUAAACAGGACACUUCCCCCAAGACUACUUUCCUCCUUUCUAUGGUGGGGAAGAUUAUAACCUCGAACAUUUAGACUAGCGAACGCUUACAGGGGUUCGUCACUGUCUCUGUUUAAUCCUUCGUAAGGCCUCUUGGGUUGACGACUUCUCCUUUAUUUAUUUCUUCUCGUGGGGGUUAAUGUCUUCCCAAACCCGAAACUCUAAAGAGACACACCCGUGAACGAUGCCGGUCCUUACCCGGUUUGUAGACGACUACUCCACAAGGUUGUUGUAGAACAGGGACUCCUCCUAAAGUUUAACAGACCUGGUAGUUAUUAUUUUUUACGUUUGGAAUAACAGUCUUAACCGACAUUGAUAAAGUGUACCUCAUUUCAAAGAGUACAACAAGAACCCUUCCGACAUAAACCAGGUCUGAAGACACAUCUUGGAUAGCUACGAUAAGGUCAACUUGCGGUUCUUUGUGGGUUAAGCUCUCUACUAAGAGAACCCAACAGGGGUUCGGCCUCUACCUCCGACACCGGAUAAGGUAAAUCCUAUAGUUCUAGAGAAGUUGCGUCAUUAUCACUAAGAAGACUCCUAUAAAAAGAACUGUGUCUCUGUCAGAAUUCAGGAUACCUACUCGUUCGGGGUCGGUUGUUAUUUCUGGUCAGUGGUUCUUUCGUUAAACACGCCUGAAAUUAAGGGUGAUCGCUUGUCCACCGUAGAGAUUUAGAAUUCCUCCCUGUUUUGUAACAGUGGAAAUCGAAGACGUGGUCUCAAAAACCCUUCGUCGUCCAACUACGUGUAUAGAUGCACACCUUUACCUUACGUUUUUAACAAUAUAGGCUGCACCUACCUUGGUAGUGUUCCAGACUACAGAACCCGGUCCAGUACGGAAAUCAACCUGCUCUAACCUCAGUCAGACCACAACGAGCUGAGAAAAGACGUUAUUUCCUUUUACCAAUAGUUGACUAUAAGGAAUCGCGAUCUCGGUAACAGGUCCGUAUAGACUGUUUUUUGAAGGAGAAGUUAGAUUUUGUCCUACCCUUUCAUUACGGAUUACCUGGACAACAUUAAAGCGGGCUACCUAACAAGGGAAGCGAGAUGGCUCUUCAAUAUGCUUCUCGUGGUGUACUCAAGUUCUAACGGACAGACCUCCUGUAAUUUCGUGAAAAAGGAAGGCUGAUGUUAGGUAAAAUACGACCUAAACCGUUGUCUCUGUGACUGCUCGAAUGUAUGUUUUUCUACCCUUAAAGCUUUCCGUUCUAAAAAUAGUAGUUGGGGUUCCCACUUCACCGGUAGUUAUCAAGUCAACUACACUUCAGGAUAUGGAGGAACGUAUGGGAACAGUUACUGUACAAGGGAGGUUGUUGAAACCAACUCGUCCUUCUGAUGUUGAGGACCUUAAUAACCUUCCACGGCGACGGUCUGUAACUAAACAUCUCAUCAAAACUGUUCAUGUCGUCAUCUGCGUUCAUCUCAGACGCCUGUCGUACUGGCCGUUCGAGCACAUACGAUCAAGAGUUAGCGGUGUCGUCUUAAGACGGGUUGGACAUUUCGUAGACCACUCAAAAGGUCUACCUGACAAAACUAGCGGCAACAACGUCUUCGAGCUAAAAGGAACGGGGCUGCGUCGAGAUAGUGCUAGUAAGUAGAAAAUCCAUCACUAGACUAGCAGUAUCGGCAGCAACUUUGAAUAGCGACGACACGGCCGUAGAGUUAAGCGUUGCUCCAUCGGGCGGCUCGGACAAUCAUUAGACAAUAGUCGUCGACGAUCGGACACAACGAAAGGCACAAGAGCAUCGAGAUCCGACACUACAUCGAGUAGACAGUCAAUCUAAUGAGCACCAUGUAAUGACCUUUCGUUGUCCCUUGUCUUUUGACAGAUAGUGCGACAUACAACAACAUAUACCCUAUAUUUAUGCUGACGUAAAAAGACAUUUGCAGCGUACGAUUACUAUAACAUCAUACCAUGUUAAAGGGUAGAGCACCAGCAUUGAGACGACUGUUAACGGUUUACCGCUUCUUAUUUG
rnacentral:rRNA from 1 species